CCUACGGGUGGCAGCAGUGAGGAAUAUUGGUCAAUGGACGAGAGUCUGAACCAGCCAAGUAGCGUGAAGGAUGACUGCCCUAUGGGUUGUAAACUUCUUUUAUAUGGGAAUAAAAUGUUCCACGUGUGGGAUUUUGUAUGUACCAUAUGAAUAAGGAUCGGCUAACUCCGUGCCAGCAGCCGCGGUAAUACGGAGGAUCCGAGCGUUAUCCGGAUUUAUUGGGUUUAAAGGGAGCGUAGGUGGAUUGUUAAGUCAGUUGUGAAAGUUUGCGGCUCAACCGUAAAAUUGCAGUUGAAACUGGCAGUCGUGAGUACAGUAGAGGUGGGCGGAAUUCGUGGUGUAGCGGUGAAAUGCUGAGAUAUAACGAAGAACUACGAUUGCGAAGGAAGCUCACUGGACUGCAACUGACACUGAGGCUCGAAAGUGUGGGUAUCAAACAGGAUUAGAGACCCUGGUAGUC
rnacentral:rRNA from 1 species